UUGGAGGUCAGGCAGAGGAGUUGGGGCUGUGUUUCCCUGUGUCUCACCGAGGAGGUGCAUCGUCACAGGGGCCGGUGUGGAGAAGGUCUUAGAGGAGGCCAGACAGGAGGCUGGAGCAACAGUCGAAGGUUCCAGUCGCAAGAAAGAGAGACAGCAGCCAGAAGAGCCAGGCACAAAGUGACAAGUGCUAUGGAAGCAGACAUCACGGGCCAAGUUGAUGAGCAGCUGGGUGUGAAGGGGAGGGACACGUUGCUACGAGAGUGUGCGCGCACGUGCUUGCGCAUGAGCGGGAGAGAGGCAGAGGGAGAACCAGACUCCCCAUUGAGCAGGGAGCGACCCGGG